GAUGAAGAACGUAGCGAAAUGCGAUAAGUAAUGUGAAUUGCAGAAUUCAGUGAAUCAUCGAAUCUUUGAACGCACCUUGCGCCCUUUGGCCAUUCCGAAGGGCAUGCCUGUUUGAGUAUCAUGAACACCUCAACUCUUUAUGGUUUUCCAUGAUGAGCUUGGACUCUGGGGGUUUUGCUGGCUCACAGUCGGCUCCUCUAAAAUGAAUCAGCUUACCAGUGUUUGGGGGGUAUCAUGGGUGUGAUAACUAUCUACGCUUGUGGUUUUUCCACCAGGUAACCUUCAGCAGUGGAGGUUCGCUGGAGCUCAUAGAUGUCUCUCCUCAGUGAGGACAGCCCUUUGAAUGUUUGAUCUCAAAUCAGGUAGGACUACCCGCUGAACUUAAGCAUAUCAAUAAGCGGAGGA
rnacentral:misc_RNA from 1 species